GGAAAUCGGGCCACCAAAACCGAAUCUCCAGAGUCAGCCAGUCUUGGUCACCAUGGAAAUAUAGCAAAAGUCCCUCAGUUCAGUGCCAGAGGAAAAGUACGAAGAAAAUGGAUUCUGGGUUUCUCAUAUUGCUUCUGUUUUUCAAUCUUCUCCUCUCCUUUUCAUUUGGUAAACCUGAUGGAGUGUGCGUCUCCCAAGGUGGUCGCUUUCCACGUUUCUCAUCUGAAGGAAAACCUCCCAAAAAGGUAAGUAAGGGAACAAAAGAUUUGACCCUUUGUAGGGUGUUUCGCAAAAAGACUUGCUGUGAUGUAGCCCAGACACAUCCUGCGCUUCUAUCAGUUAGGAGGCUGGCUUCAACAGGAGAAGCCAGCCAAGAUUGCUUGGACUUAUGGGAAUUAUUGGAAUGUUCGAUCUGUGAUCCACGUGUUGGUGUUCAGCCUGGACCUCCUCUGAUAUGUGGCUCUUUUUGUGACAAAGUCUAUAAGGCUUGCUCUAAUGCUUACUUCUCCGUGGAUGCAAAGACACAGGUUCUAGCACCAUGUGGUGUAAAUGACUUUGUCUGUGGUAGGGCUUUGGAAUGGGUAUCAAAUGGCACAGCACUAUGCCAUGCUGCAGGUUUUGCUGUUAACCCAUCUGACAAAAUGUACACUGGAACGGAAGAAUCAUCUUGCUAUGGUGGUAAAGCCAGUCUAGAUUCUGUUGCUGACUCAUGGAGGGCUUCACAUUCUGAGGUGCCCCAUAAAGCUCAGACUUUGGGGGUAUUCGAAGAUUUCCUGCAAUGGAUGAGAGAAAUGCCAUUUAAUGAAAGAGUUUCUUGGGCAGUGGGAGGGAUGGUUCUUACAGCAGGAUUAUUGUAUAUAAGGUAGAAUGUGCUGAAUUUUUUGAGGUUGCUGGUUUCUUCCCCAAGCUUUUUAUAUCACUUUUUGUUAAUUAUGCAAAAGGAAGAGCCAUAGCCAGCGCCAGAAGCUUGCGGCUAUUCAACGCACUGCAAGGAAACUAGAAGGCAAGAUCAAUGACCAGAAAUUGUCUAGUAACCAUGGAAGUAGGAAAGGAAAGUAGAAGAUGACUCUUUUUGUAUGUGAACAUAAAUAGUUUUUGGACAAAUAACAUGUGACUCUUCAUCUUUUUUUUUUCAACUUAUAAUGUUAUAAGUGAAUAUUUUUUGUUAUUUUUAUUUGCUCUUCUGAAAGGUAGAUUAUGCCUUGGUUUUGAA